rnacentral:rRNA from 1 species
AUUGAACGCUGGCGGCAUGCCUAACACAUGCAAGUCGAACGGCAGCACGGGUGUUUGCACCUGAUGGCGCGUGGCGAACGGGUGUGUAGUACAUGAAAACAUGUCGUAUAGUGGGGGAAAGUCCGGCGAAAGCCGGUAUAAUACCACACACGAUGAGCGGGAGAAAGGGGGGGCCUUGGAGGUCUCGCGCUCAGGGGAGGGCCUAUGGGUGAUUAGCUUGGUGGUGGGGUAAAGGCCUACCAAGGCGACGAUCAGUAGCUGGUCUGAGAGGACGAACAGCCACACUGGAACUGAGACACGGCCCAGACUCCUACGGGAGGCAGCAGUGGGGAAUAUUGGACAAUGGGCGAAAGCCUGAUCCAGCCAUGCCGCGUGUGUGAAGAAGGUCUUCGGGUUGUAAAGCACUUUUAUCCGGAAAGAAAGCCUGUGACUUAAUACGUUCCUGUUUUGACGGUACCGGAAGAAUAAGCACCGGCUAACUACGUG